CCUACGGGAGGCAGCAGUAGGGAAUUUUCCGCAAUGGGCGAAAGCCUGACGGAGCAAUACCGCGUGAGGGAUGACUGCCUAUGGGUUGUAAACCUCUUUUUUCAGGGAGGAAUAAAUGACGUGUACCUGAAGAAUAGGCAUCGGCUAACUCCGUGCCAGCAGCCGCGGUAAGACGGAGGAUGCAAGUGUUAUCCGGAAUCACUGGGCGUAAAGCGUCUGUAGGUGGCUCGACAAGUCAACUGUUAAAUCUUGAAGCUCAACUUCAAAAUCGCAGUCGAAACUAUCGGACUAGAGUAUAGUAGAGGUAAACGGGAAUUUCCAGUGGAGCGGUGAAAUGCGUAGAGAUUGGAAAGAACACCGAUGGCGAAGGCACUUUGCUGGGCUAUUACUGACACUCAGAGACGAAAGCUAGGGUAGCAAAUGGGAUUAGGUACCCCAGUAGUCCUAGCCGUAAACAAUGGAUACUAGGUGUUGAACAGAUCGACCUGUGCAGUACAACGACUACGACGUAGUACUCCGUCCGUGGUAGUAGUGCNCGCGAGUAGUAGAACGUACAACUAGAAGUUAGUACGGUCGUGAGACGUGCCGACGGACGACGACGAGGGAGGUUAGG
rnacentral:rRNA from 1 species